GUGUUCCCUGCCCUCACGGGUAGAAACGCCCACCCUUGUAUAAUAUAUCUUGUUGCUUUGGCAGGCCGCCCUCGGGCACCGGCUCCGGCUGGAUCGUGCCUGCCAGAGGACCCCAAACUCUGAAUGUUAGUGUCGUCUGAGUACUAUAUAAUAGUUAAAACUUUCAACAACGGAUCUCUUGGUUCU
rnacentral:misc_RNA from 1 species